CCCCUCCCCGCGGCAGCGCCCGGGCCUCGGCAGCUGCGGGCUCGGGGCUCCCGCCGGCCCGUGCCCCACCCCCUCCCGGGGUGUCCUGCUGUGGGCGCCGCCGCCCCCGCCCGGCUGGACUGAGGACUGCCCGCGGCCCAGAGCUUUGCCCCCGCCUGUGGGGUCGGUGACCCGGAGUUGGAGGGAGAGGGAGCGAGGGCUCGGGCGCGAAGGUUUGGCUGGAAUCGAGGGUGAACAGAGUCGACGGAUUCUGAUGUUAGCUUCCUUUCUGAGGAAUCCAGUUACCCCCGAAUGGCAGAAGGCUUCUCAGGAUGCAGUUUCUGGAGUACCCGCUCCUGUCAUCUUCACACUCUCACCACUGCUGCUUCCAUAA
rnacentral:lncRNA from 1 species